rnacentral:misc_RNA from 1 species
UGGGGAUUGCAUUGAAUCUGCCAA